GGAUAAGUGGCGGAAUUGGAAAACGCACGGAACGUAUGCCGGGACUCUCGCUCAUUGGCAGUAAAGCCCAUCCCCGUUCGAAUCGGGGCUUAUCCA
rnacentral:tRNA from 1 species